AUGCAACUACCUACCCCCUCUUUCGACACCCACCUACAAAACAAAUGUGUAGACAUGCAGUUGCAGUCGAGGGUGAUACUUGCAAUUGCAAGCCUAGUGUCGGACAUGCAACUACCCACCCCCUCUUUCGACGCCUACCUACAAAAGAAAAGGUCGGUUGCGGUUGGGUGUGUGGACAUGCAGUUGCAGUCAAGGGCGAUACUUGCAGUUGCAAGCCUUGUGUCGGACAUGCAAAUGCCCCCUCCUUCUCUCAGCGCCCUCCAACAAAAUCACAAGGCUAGUUGCAUUUUGGGAGGGAGACAUGCAAUUGCAAACGGGGCGACACUUGCAGUUGCAAGGCCUAAUGUUGGACAUGCAACUGCCCCCUCUUCCACGGCUGAUUUACAAAACAAAGGCCGGUUGCAGUCAGGUGUGGGCAUGCAGUUGCGUGCCUAG
rnacentral:rRNA from 1 species